CGGGGAAUUUUGGACAAUGGGCGAAAGCCUGAUCCAGCAAUGCCGCGUGUGUGAAGAAGGCCUUCGGGUUGUAAAGCACUUUUGUCCGGAAAGAAAUCCUUGGCUCUAAUACAGUCGGGGGAUGACGGUACCGGAAGAAUAAGCACCGGCUAACUACGUGCCAGCAGCCGCGGUAAUACGUAGGGUGCAAGCGUUAAUCGGAAUUACUGGGCGUAAAGCGUGCGCAGGCGGUUUGCUAAGACCGAUGUGAAAUCCCCGGGCUCAACCUGGGAACUGCAUUGGUGACUGGCAGGCUAGAGUAUGGCAGAGGGGGGUAGAAUUCCACGUGUAGCAGUGAAAUGCGUAGAGAUGUGGAGGAAUACCGAUGGCGAAGGCAGCCCCCUGGGCCAAUACUGACGCUCAUGCACGAAAGCGUGGGGAGCAAACAGGAUUAGAUACCCUGGUAGUCCACGCCCUAAAACGAUGUCAACUAGUUGUUGGGGGAUUCAUUUCCUUAGUAACGUAGCUAACGCGUGAAGUUGACCGCCUGGGGAGUACGGUCGCAAGAUUAAAACUCAAAUGAAUUGACGGGGUCAUAGCUGUUUCCU
rnacentral:rRNA from 1 species